rnacentral:rRNA from 1 species
GAUGAACGCUGGCGGCAGGCUUAACACAUGCAAGUCGAACGAGCAGAGGACGGGUGGGUGAUGUCUGGGAAACUGCCUGAUGGAGGAGGAUAACUACUAGAAACGGUCGCUAAUACCGCAUACCCACAGAUGUGCCCAGGUUGGAUUAGCUAGUAGGUGGGGUAAUGGCUCACCUAGGCGACGAUCCCUAGCUGGUCUGAGAGGAUGACCAGUCACACUGGAACUGAGACACGGUCCAGACUCCUACGGGAGGCAGCAGUGGGGAAUAUUGGACAAUGGGCGCAAGCCUGAUGCAGCCAUGCCGCGUGUGUGAAGAAGGCAUUCGGGUUGUAAAGCACUUUUAGCGAGGAGGCGUUACUCGCAGAAGAAGCACCGGCUAACUCCGUGCCAGCCGCCGCGGUAAUUC